rnacentral:rRNA from 1 species
UACGGGAGGCAGCAGUGGGGAAUAUUGCACAAUGGGCGCAAGCCUGAUGCAGCCAUGCCGCGUGUAUGAAGAAGGCCUUCGGGUUGUAAAGUACUUUCAGUCGUGAGGAAGGUGUUAAGGUUAAUAACCUUAGCAAUUGACGUUAGCGACAGAAGAAGCACCGGCUAACUCCGUGCCAGCAGCCGCGGUAAUACGGAGGGUGCGAGCGUUAAUCGGAAUUACUGGGCGUAAAGGGCACGCAGGCGGUUAAUUAAGUUGGAUGUGAAAUCCCCGGGCUUAACCUGGGAAUGGCAUUCAAGACUGGUUAGCUAGAGUCUUGUAGAGGGGGUAGAAUUCCAUGUGUAGCGGUGAAAUGCGUAGAGAUGUGGAGGAAUACCGGUGGCGAAGGCGGCCCCUGGACAAAGACUGACGCUCAUGUGCGAAAGCGUGGGGAGCAAACAGGGAUUAAAUACC